GGUUGGUGCUGGGUGGCAUGAGAGGAGAAGGUCAGUGCUGACGCCUGUGUGCCGUGAAUUGGCAUGAGAGGAACUGAGAAGGCGACCAGAUGGACAGAGAUGGGGACAAAAGGUGGUGAAGUGGAGAAGGGAUUGAACUCAUGACCUUGUGCUUACCAAGCAAGUGCUUGAACCACUGAGCCCUGAAGGAGAGAGAAAAGAAAGAGGCCACGUGAUGAAGAAGAUGCCUUGAGAUAAGGAGGGAAAGACCAGCUGGUCUCUGUUCCAACACCUGGUGACCAGUUAAGUGAGAUAAUGGAGACAUGGAGAUAUUUAAUGAUUCUCCCAUAUCACAUCUUACAAGUGACAAAGCAGGUCAUGAAACCCUUGUUUGAGAACUACACUGCCUUUACCUGGAGGAGAAGAGCAUCCUUGCUUCUUACUGCAUAAGGACACACAGAGAGAAACCGAAACCAAUAGGCCGGGCUAAAUUACUGGCAGUUUAUUGACAUUGGAUCAUACUCUCUUUGUUGACUCACACUGCUUCAUGAGUAAUCCAUUGACCAUGUUUUCAUCACUGUGACAAAAUAUCUGACAUAAACAACUUCAUGACAAUUUAAAGGAGGAAAAGUUUAGUUUGGUUCCCAGUUUCAGAAGUACUGGCGCUAUUGUGUCUGGGUCAGAACAUCAUGAUAAGAGAGUGUGUGGUAAAAGAAAUCAGCUCACCUGAUGGUGUACAGGAAGGCAGGUGAGCAGGAGAUGGAAAGGGAGAGGAAGAGGGAGAAGGAGACACUGGAAUCUCACCACAUCCUGAUGCUUCUCCGCACUGUAUUAGUCAGAUUUUCAUCACUGGGACUAAGUAUCUGGUUACACACAACUAAAAGAAGAAGGCUUUACUUUUGCAUAUGACUUCAGAGGCUUCAGUUCAUGGUCAGCUGACUCCAAAACAGAAGCAUCAAGGCAGUAGGGCAUGGCAGAGCGAAGUUGGUCAGUCCAUGGUGGUCAGAAGGCAGGGCAGAGAACCAAAGUCAGAAAAGAAGGGACCAAGAGCCAGACACAGUACCCAAGGUUACACUUCCAUGACCCAUCCAUACACACUUGGAAGUGUGAUUUACCAAUUCAUAGAUGGCUCCCAAGCUAAUCAAGCUAAAAAUCCAGAUUAACUGUUAGAAAAGGCAUAUCCAGUCCACAUCCUUCCAGGUAGGCCUCACCUCCUGAAGUCCCCACUGCUUCCCAAUUAAUACCACCAGCUGCAGCCAGAGCUUCAAUGCAUGAGUCCUCUGAAAACACACACACACACACACACACACACACACACACACACACACACAUAUAUAUAUACUUCCUUAUUUCUUUGGGUCAUUUCUGAUAACCCUUAUAUCACAUAAAACUUGUAUUAAAUAAUUGCAUUUACUUCUUUCAGGAUUUUUAAA